rnacentral:rRNA from 1 species
UUUUUGGAGAGUUUGAUCCUGGCUCAGGACGAACGCUGGCGGCGUGCCUAACACAUGCAAGUCGAACGGAGAAUUUCAAUAAGUUUACUUAGCGAAAUUUUUAGUGGCGGACGGGUGAGUAACGCGUGGGUAACCUACCCAUAAAUCCGGGACAACCCUUGGAAACGAGGGCUAAUACCGGAUAAUCUUAGAAGCUGGCAUCAGCGUUUAAGGAAAGGUGGCCUCUGAAAAUGCUACCGAUUAUGGAUGGACCCGCGUCUGAUUAGCUAGUUGGUGGGGUAAAGGCCUACCAAGGCGACGAUCAGUAGCCG